UCCAUUGAAGGUAACUUCCUUUGAUAUUGGUAUUGUUCAAUUUUGUUUUUCCGGCUUCUGGUUGCUAUUAUAGCUUGUUGUUUUUAACGGUUACUAAAGAUAUGUUCAAAUUCAUACCAGCACUCCAAUAGCUAUUGCUUGAAAUCUGUUUUCUACCUGUGGUUAUUAAGUAUAUAUACUUAUAAGGUGUCCUUUAUUGCUUUCUUAAAUUCUGGGUAGUCUGCUAUGCAAUGAUGGCAUUGGCAGAUUUCGUUGCAGUAUUGAAAUGUAAAUAUAUUGAACAGAUCAAAUGGUAAGAUUAGUUAGCUUUCUUCCUGAUUACGUUUUCUCUUCCAUUUUCAAUGCUAUGUCUACCACGCAUUCUCAUGUCCAUGGUGCCUUUUUUGUUUGAUGUGAAGUAAAUUUCCACACGGGGUGGGGCAACGAGGUUGUGGCAACUUGGUGGCAUGGCUGCCGAUCAGCCAAGCAAGACCUACUCUCUCUACACCUCCGCAUGGUUGCUUGUUGCUGCUAUCAACUUCUCUAUCAUUGUUGGAAUGGGUCGGCGAUAAAAACUGCAAGUCUCCUUGCGCAUAAUCUCUUUUCGUUUGAAGCACAUUUCCGAUUUGAGCUAAGUGACAGUUUGAUUGAUAUUGGCGUGAUGGCUAAGGUCGAGGCUGCCACGUACUAGACCACCGCCAUGCUCAACGUCGAGGAGUGCGGCAGCACCGUGGCCAGGGCCAUAGCGUUCGGUGCCGAGAACGUGGCCAAGGGGAUCCUAUGGUGCGGGGUGAUAACCGUGAACAAGCUCCACCGGGCGAACGAGGUCAGCCCGGAGAUGCUCGGGCAUAUCAAAAUGCUUCAUGUGCGUAUAUGUGACUAUUUGCUUAUGGUGAACUUGAAGAUAGUCGUUAAGGUAUUCAUGGUGGAGGGAAAGGUUGAUGCUGGUCCUGGUCCUAUUUAUGCAACCGGCGUGGAAUUCAAGGAAGAAGGGCAUUUCGAACAAAGAAAUCAGCUGGUUUAGUGCCAGGCUCCUUGCUACUGUAGCUGAUGGGGAACACUGCUAUGGCUGCUGCACGGUGGCGGGGUUUGGGCAUGCCGCUGGUGCUCCAUCAGAUUGGUGUGGAUGCCUAUGCUCGGAAUCUGUUGUAUCUACGGGUUCCCAGGUCCCCUUGCUAAUUUUAUAGUGAGCUAGCAUUCUAGAUCUUUGGGGGAGGAUCCUCUCC